AUUCACGCCUCUCUCCUCUCUUCUGCUUCUCUUCUUCGCUAGUAAAUCCCAAACUUCUUAACUAACAUUCACUGAGCUUAACCCAAUAAAAGAUGGGCUUCUCUUGUGCUUUUGAUGAUGAAAAGUUUUCAAAAAAACCCCAAUUAAAGGUUAGGGUUUUAGAUCUGUCUCUUAUAGUGCAUAUACCUGAGAGAGGUAGAAGCAGCUUCGAUUUCAAGGGCGAAGAUGUUUCCCAGAAUGUUCUUGAGGAAGCCGGAUAAGGCGGAGGCGUUGAAGCAGCCCAAGACCCAUGCGGCAAUGUUCGAAGUUUGGGUUGCCGUCAUUGGGGUCACACCUUACGUUCUCCAUUAUUUCUCAGAUAGCAAAGAAGAACUCAAGCUCGAACUCUAAUUUCCUUCACAGGUAAAAAAUUUAUAUGUUAACUAAACGGUGUUAUGGUUCAGUGGAACAUUUGCUUGCUGUAGUGGAAGGAAUGGAAGCUUCAAUGGAACAUUUGCUUGCUCUAAUAGAUGACUUUCACAAAUAUGUAGAUGAUGUGGUGGUGAGAUAAAUGUUUUUUUGCUCUUAAAUUAUGAGUUUGCUACCCUCUGCUAAUUUGUGGACUAAAUGUUUUUCCGUCCAGGAAGGGCGUAUUGCUCCAGAUAAUGACAUCGGCCAAUUUAUAUCAGAUACUGUCGCAUCUAUUCCGAAAUUAUCACCACACGAAUUUGAUAAACUAGUGAAUGAUAGUCUGUAGGUAUAUAUCUUUCUUUCCCUUGCCCUCAAAAGGUUAUCUUUUUGGGGCGGCAAGAGUUAUUUGUCAUUUUUUCAAUGUUCUAUUGUUUGGAUACGGAUCUUUAUUGAUUCAAUCUAUAUAAUUGAUUUGUCACCUUAAUAAUGUCGAUGUUGGAAAAAACUCAAAAAAGUUUAGAGACUUGACAAAGCACUUGAAAUAAGAAGUUGAGCUCCGUGCUACCAAAAUAAUUAACAAAAAUUAUCAGGUGUGUUAUUCUUAUGCUAAGCAAGUGCAGAAAUUAACACUGAUUAAAGUAAAGGUUCUUUCAUUGGUCUAUCAAAUGUACAAAAAUGGGGGAGAUUCAUAGUCCCUUUUUAGGGGCUUCUAUAAAUAUUAUUCAUUUUGUUGGCAUCAACUGGACUUGGCACUAACAGAAUAAGAGUGGCUUAUAAGAAUAACUAGGUCGAGUUCGGGAAAAGUAAGGUACAAAAAAGGGGGAGAUGUCAUCGUCCCUUCUUUGGGACUGCUAAAACUAUGAUGCAGAAUGUUGGGGACAUUUAGUUGAUACCAUUUUCUUAAAUAUGAUGUUGCAUGUUAUGAUAGAAGAUCUGGAUGGUCCGAAUCGAAUGAACUACCAAAUGUGAUUGAGGAUCAAUACAACAAAUAUUGCUGGAAGUUUAAAUGCAUUUAAUACUAAAGGAGGGAAUCAGUCUUAUAUUUUGUUUCCUGGAUACUUUUUCAUUCUCGAAUCAAGUUCUGUAAAUUAUAUGCAUAAAGUGUAAGAUGUUUGAAGAAAUUCUCCUUAUUAAUCUUUUGAUUAUUAUAUUUUGGAAAAUGGUUUCUUGUCUUAGAAGAAUGUGGUUGGAAUUUAGCUAUAAGACCGUUUAAUCAGAUUUCGCCUCUUUGCCAGGCAGUGCACAACUAUUGGUAACGUUAUGAUAUCAAAGGGGCCCUUAGUGCAUUGGAGAAAAUGGUUGAUCGUUGUGUAUGUGUUGUAUUUCUGUUUCUGUAUGUGGGGAAGAAAAAAUGGUUCUUUUUUCUCCUCUAUUUCGCAAGUAGCAGUACAAAUGUAAUUUAAAUAUCGCAUUUUCAAUGAAAAUGAACUCUCAUGUUCUUCAUAAUGUUUUUCGGAAUGCAGGUGCUUGCUGAUGUAAUGUGCCUUCUCGAGAAAAAACUGAUAUUGUCGCAUUAGAUAUUUGCACGUAUCUUUUGCCACUGUAUUGAUGGAUCCGGUUCAACUGCAGUAGCCGAGGGAUCAGGAUUGGCUGAAAGUGGAUUGCAAGUGCCUGGGAAGAGGG
rnacentral:lncRNA from 1 species